UACAGAGACUGCAAGCGUUAUUCGGAUUCACUGGGCGUAAAGGGUGCGCAGGCGGCCGUGUGUGUUAGGUGUGAAAGCCCGGGGCUUAACCCCGGAAUUGCGCCUAAAACUACACGGCUAGAGUAUUGGAGAGGGUAGCGGAAUUCACGGUGUAGCAGUGAAAUGCGUAGAUAUCGUGAGGAACACCAGAGGCGAAGGCGGCUACCUGGACAAUUACUGACGCUCAGGCACGAAAGCGUGGGGAGCAAAAGGGAUUAGAUACCCCUGUAGUCCACGCCCUAAACGGUGCACACUAGGUCUUAGCGGAUUCGAUCCCGCUAGGGCCCAAGCUAACGCGUUAAGUGUGCCGCCUGAGGACUACGGUCGCAAGACUAAA
rnacentral:rRNA from 1 species